GACGAACGCUGGCGGCGUGCUUAACACAUGCAAGUCGAACGAAGUGGCGAACGUGUGAGUCACGCGUAAUCAACCUGCCCUUCAGAGGGGGCCAACAGUUGGAAACGACUGCUAAUACCGCAUACUGAAGGAGGGGCUUGUGUCUGAUUAGCUAGUUGGAGGGGUCACGGCCCACCAAGGCGAUGAUCCGUAGCCGGUCCGAGAGGAUGAAAGGGCACAUGUGGACUGAGAACAGGCCCAGACCCCUACGGGAAGCAGCAGGGGGGAAUCUUUCGCAAUGGAGGAAAGUCUGACGGAGCAACGCCGCGGGAGUGAUGACGGCCUUCGGGUUGUAAAGCUCUGUUAAUCGGGAAGCGGUACCGGAAUAGAAAGCCACGGCUAACUACGUGCCAGCCGCCGCGGUAAUUC
rnacentral:rRNA from 1 species